rnacentral:rRNA from 1 species
GACGAAUGCUGGCUGCGUGCUUAACACAUGCAAGUCGAACGGUGAACAGGGGCUUGCCCCUGGGAUCAGUGGCGAACGGGUGAGUAACACGUGGGCAACCUGCCCCUCACUCUGGGAUAACUCCGGGAAACCGGGGCUAAUACCGGAUACGACCAGGCACGACAUCGGGUCUGGUGGAAAGAACUUCGGUGAGGGAUGGGCCCGCGGCCUAUCAGCUUGUUGGUGAGGUAAUGGCUCACCAAGGCGACGACGGGUAGCCGGCCUGAGAGGGCGACCGGCCACACUGGGACUGAGACACGGCCCAGACUCCUACGGGAGGCAGCAGUGGGGAAUAUUGCGCAAUGGGCGAAAGCCUGACGCAGCGACGCAGCGUGAGGGACGAAAGGCCUUCGGGUUGUAAACCUCUUUCAGCGGGACGAAGCGAAAGUGACGGUACCGCAGAAGAAGCACCGGCUAACUACGUGCCAGCAGCCGCGGUAAU